UCAAUCUGGACCGUUGUAUUAAACUUAUAAAUGUAGCGUCUAGGCUAAAAAAUAUCUUUGAAUAUAUAUUCUAUUUCCCUUACGUUUCAUUAUUUCCUGGAUGUUCGAGGGGCCUGGUGUGCAAUGAAUAAUGAUAGAGAGAGAAGAGCAACGUGGAGAUAACUCCGAGAAAAUUGCCAUGGAGAAAAAUGCCUCCAGAUAACAGUUACCAGCAUCCGACUAUUUGAUGGUGUUGACCAAGACCAUGAAUAAAUCCAAGAAGGCUACGUACGUUUUUGAGCAGUCCAUGCUACUAAUAUUGUACAAGAGUGGAUGGAUAGCAACAUGAAGUUCUGGUCCAAGAAACCCCUCAGAGAACAGAUUUGGAUCCACUGGAUUACUCUUAUUUGGUGGAAAGUUGAGAAGACGGCCUAGAAAGUUGGCUAACAAAAUAUUGGUACCCUGAAGACCUUCGUUAACCAGCUGUAGAGGAUCAUGAAAAAGGACUACGUUGCCAAUGUGUGCAAGGGGUUCUCGAGGUGGUUGGAAGCUGUCAUUGAGGCUGAUGGUGGCCGGAUUCAUAAUUAAUAUGCAUUGUUAUAAUAAAAAUAUUAUAAAAUAAAUUUUUUUAUAUAAA
rnacentral:lncRNA from 1 species